UACGUAGGGGGCAAGCGUUGUCCGGAAUCACUGGGCGUAAAGGGUGCGUAGGCGGGUCUUUAAGUCAGGGGUGAAAUCCUGGAGCUCAACUCCAGAACUGCCUUUGAUACUGAGGAUCUUGAGUUCGGGAGAGGUGAGUGGAACUGCGAGUGUAGAGGUGAAAUUCGUAGAUAUUCGCAAGAACACCAGUGGCGAAGGCGGCUCACUGGCCCGAUACUGACGCUGAGGCACGAAAGCGUGGGGAGCAAACAGG
rnacentral:rRNA from 1 species